rnacentral:lncRNA from 1 species
GCAGGACAAAUCAUCAGGCUUUUCAUUUUCUGCCGUAACGAGAGAUCGAUCUGGUCAUCCGGGCCGGUGCAGAUAUGUGUGUGCACGCCUGUGCCGUUGAAAUAUAAGUGCGUUAUAUUGUCAUCUUUUAUUCAUCGUUUGAGCUUUUGGACAAAUUGAUUCGAUGCAUGAAACUCAGGUAUUAGAACUAAAUGUCUUUGCGCACGUACUAGCCGUCUCUCUCUCUUCCCAAAUGUAAAUGUAAGAUGUUUGGCCUUCCAAAAUCGCCAUCUUACAAGGAAUAGAAGAAAGGGUGUAGUAUUUUUUUUUUGUGCACUGUGAUGAAUCAAAGUUUAAAUUUACCCGCAUGCAUAAUGAAACUAAAUCUCACAUCGCAAGUCUCAUUGUAUCUCUUGGCCGUCGGGUUAAUUACUUUGAUCUUGAACUAUCUACAAGUCAGCG